UCGAGGAUCUUCGGCAAUGGGCGCAAGCCUGACCGAGCGACGCCGCGUGGACGAUGAAGGCCUUCGGGUUGUAAAGUCCUGUCGAGGGGGAUAAAAGCGCAAGCUUGAUUGAUCCCUGGAGGAAGCACGGGCUAAGUUCGUGCCAGCAGCCGCGGUAAGACGAACCGUGCGAACGUUGUUCGGAAUCACUGGGCUUAAAGGGCGCGUAGGCGGCUUGUCAAGUCAGGGGUGAAAUCUUUCGGCUUAACCGGAAAAGUGCCUUUGAUACUGACAGGCUCGAGGGAGGUAGGGGUAUGUGGAACUUCCGGUGGAGCGGUGAAAUGCGUUGAUAUCGGAAGGAACGCCGGUGGCGAAAGCGACGUACUGGACCUCUUCUGACGCUGAGGCGCGAAAGCUAGGGGAGCAAACGG
rnacentral:rRNA from 1 species